UGGCGGCGUGCUUAACACAUGCAAGUCGAACGAAGCACUUACUUACGAGUUCUUCGGGGAUGACGAGUUGUGACUGAGUGGCGGACGGGUGAGUAACGCGUGGGUAACCUGCCGUAUGCAGGGGGACAACAGUUGGAAACGACUGCUAAUACCGCAUAAGCGCACAGCAUCGCAUGAUGCAGUGUGAAAAACUCCGGUGGCAUACGAUGGACCCGCGUCUGAUUAGGUAGUUGGUGAGGUAACGGCCCACCCAAGCCGACGAUCAGUAGCCGACCUGAGAGGGUGACCGGCCACAUUGGGACUGAGACACGGCCCAAACUCCUACGGGAGGCAGCAGUGGGGAAUAUUGGACAAUGGGGGAAACCCGUGAUCCAAGCGACGCCGCGUGAGUGAAGAAAUAUUUCGGUAUGUAAAGCUCUAUCAGCAGGGAAGAAAAUGACGGUACCUGACUAAGAAGCCCCGGCCUAACUACGUGCCAGCAGCAGC
rnacentral:rRNA from 1 species